UACAGAGGUGGCAAGCGUUGUUCGGAAUUACUGGGCGUAAAGGGCGCGUAGGCGGUCUGUUAAGUUCGGUGUGAAAGCCCCCGGCUCACCUGGGGAACUGCGCCGGAAACCGACAGACUCGAGUACCGGAGAGGAGGGUGGAAUUCCUGGUGUAGCGGUGAAAUGCGUAGAUAUCAGGAGGAACACCGGUGGCGAAGGCGGCCCUCUGGACGGAUACUGACGCUGAGGCGCGAAAGCCGUGGGGAUCAAACAGG
rnacentral:rRNA from 1 species